GUGUGCUGUGCUUCUGAGAAUAUGGCCCGUUCCGUUCGAUGCCGCCGGAGCACGCGACGAGUUCGUAGUCUACUUUUAGGUGCGUAGUCGCGCGCAACUCGCGUCGGAGUCUCGGGGAGUCUCAUACAGCGGGCGACAUAAGAAAAUAAAUCAAAUAAAAGAGCAAAAUAGGCAAACAUUUUUGUGUGCUGUCAUACGCUGUGUUGUUCCCGUUCUUUGAUUGCAAACAGUGAAAUGCGGAAAGCGCGUUAAAAGUAAUCAAAAAUUAACAAAAAUAAAAUACAA